UUGCAAAUGAUGCUUAACCUGAAAAAUCACAUUGCUACUAUGAGCUUUUAAACGCUGAGGCAAA
rnacentral:snoRNA from 1 species